rnacentral:rRNA from 1 species
GAUGAACGCUGGCGGCGUGCCUAAUACAUGCAAGUCGAGCGAACAGACGAGGAGCUUGCUCCUCUGACGUUAGCGGCGGACGGGUGAGUAACACGUGGAUAACCUACCUAUAAGACUGGGAUAACUUCGGGAAACCGGAGCUAAUACCGGAUAAUAUAUUGAACCGCAUGGUUCAAUAGUGAAAGACGGUUUUGCUGUCACUUAUAGAUGGAUCCGCGCCGCAUUAGCUAGUUGGUAAGGUAACGGCUUACCAAGGCAACGAUGCAUAGCCGACCUGAGAGGGUGAUCGGCCACACUGGAACUGAGACACGGUCCAGACUCCUACGGGAGGCAGCAGUAGGGAAUCCUCCGCAAUGGGCGAAAGCCUGACGGAGCAACGCCGCGUGAGUGAUGAAGGUCUUCGGAUCGUAAAACUCUGUUAUUAGGGAAGAACAAAUGUGUAAGUAACUAUGCACGUCUUGACGGUACCUAAUCAGAAAGCCACGGCUAACUACGUG